GAAAAUUUGGGGUAUUUGGUUAAAAUAUCUACUUGCGCACUACGUUCGGGACGUAGGGGUCGGGCGUUCGAGUCGCCUCAUUCCGACCA
rnacentral:tRNA from 1 species